UGGGGAAUCUUGGACAAUGGGGGAAACCCUGAUCCAGCGACGCCGCGUGACCGAUGAAGCCUUUCGGGGUGUAAAGGUCUUUCAGCAGGGACAAUAAUGAUGGUACCUGCAUAAGCAGCUGCGGCUAACUACGUGCCAGCAGCCGCGGUAAUACGUAGGCAGCAAGCGUUGUUCGGAAUUACUGGGCGUAAAGAGAGUGUAGGCUGUUUACCAAGUCUGCUGUGAAAUUUCCCGGCUCAACUGGGAGCACGCAACGGAAACUGGUGAACUCGAGUCCGAGAGAGGAGAGCGGAAUUCCUGGUGUAGCGGUGAAAUGCGUAGAUAUCAGGAGGAACACCGGUGGUGAAGACGGCUCUCUGGAUCGGUACUGACGCUGAGACUCGAAAGCGUGGGUAGCAAACAGGAUUAGAUACCCCUGUAGUCC
rnacentral:rRNA from 1 species